rnacentral:rRNA from 1 species
AACGAACGCUGGCGGUAUGCUUAACACAUGCAAGUCGAACGAACAAAAUUGGGGCUUGCUCCAAUUUUAGUGAGUGGCAAACGGGUGAGUAACACGUGGGAAUCUACCUAUCAGUACGGAAUAACAUUUGGAAACAGAUGCUAAUACCGUAUAUUCUCCAAGGAGGAAAGAUUUAUCGCUGAUAGAUGAGCCCGCGUAAGAUUAGGUAGUUGGUAGGGUAAUGGCCUACCAAGCCGACGAUCUUUAGCUGGUCUGAGAGGAUGAUCAGCCACACUGGGACUGAGACACGGCCCAGACUCCUACGGGAGGCAGCAGUGGGGAAUAUUGGACAAUGGGCGAAAGCCUGAUCCAGCAAUACCGCGUGAAUGAUGAAGGCCUUAGGGUUGUAAAGUUCUUUAGUUGGUAAAGAUAAUGACGGUACCAACAGAAAAGACCCGGCUAACUCCGUGCCAGCAGCCGCGGU